rnacentral:rRNA from 1 species
UACGGAAGGCAGCAGUGGGGAAUAUUGCACAAUGGGCGCAAGCCUGAUGCAGCCAUGCCGCGUGUAUGAAAAAGGCCUUCGGGUUGUAAAGUACUUUCAGCCGUGAGGAAGGUGUUAAGGUUAAUAACCUUAGCAAUUGACGUUAGCGACAGAAGAAGCACCGGCUAACUCCGUGCCAGCAGCCGCGGUAAUACGGAGGGUGCGAGCGUUAAUCGGAAUUACUGGGCGUAAAGGGCACGCAGGCGGUUAAUUAAGUUGGAUGUGAAAUCCCCGGGCUUAACCUGGGAAUGGCAUUCAAGACUGGUUAGCUAGAGUCUUGUAGAGGGGGUAGAAUUCCAUGUGUAGCGGUGAAAUGCGUAGAGAUGUGGAGGAAUACCGGUGGCGAAGGCGGCCCCUGGACAAAGACUGACGCUCAUGUGCGAAAGCGUGGGGAGCAAACGAGGAUUAGAUACC